rnacentral:rRNA from 1 species
CCUACGGGGGGCAGCAGUAGGGAAUCUUCCACAAUGGACGAAAGUCUGAUGGAGCAACGCCGCGUGAGUGAAGCCGGGUUUCGGCUCGUCCCGCUCUGUUGGGCGUGACGCCAGCUAGAGGUAGUAACUGGCCUUUAUUUGACGGUAAUUACUUAGAAAGUCACGGCUAACUACGUGCCAGCAGCCGCGGUAAUACGUAGGGGGGAAGCGUUAUCCGGAUUUAUUGGGCGUAAAGGGCACGCAGGCGGUCUUUUAAGUCUGAUGUGAAAGCAU